rnacentral:rRNA from 1 species
AUGGGGGCAGUAGUCAGUGCGGCGGCGACCCGGCCAAGUGGAUCGGGGCUGGUGAGAGGGGGGGCUGAGGAAGAGACUAGCGGGAAGGGGAGGCAAGAUCGAAGCUCGCAAGAUGUGAGGAACCAGGCAGAGGGCUUUGAGGAGGAGUAUGGCGAUUAUUAUGGCCCUGAUCCAGACUUGGAAGAUCAAUUCGCGGGGAUGAAGCUGCAUGGCCGGGAGGAGGAAGAGCUUGACUUCUCGGAGGAAGUGGAUGAUCUCAUUAAGGACGUGCGCUGGCUGGCUCUCUUUCGGGUACACACCACAAAGAUGUUUAGCCAUGCCGCAUUGAUGCAACAGAUGCGUAAUGCUUGGGCAGCGGCACAAGGGGUCACCUUCAACGUAAAGGGCCCUAAUUUAUUCUUAGUUCAGUGCCAUUGUUUAGGUGAUUGGAGGAAGAUCAUGGAUGGGGGGCCGUGGCUGUCCAGGAGGGCUCCGGUGGUGCUGCAAGAAUACGAUGGUUUCUCAGAUGUUAAGGGCUACAGACUAAACAAGAUACCGGUCUGGGCUAGAGUGAAGGGGCUGCCAGAUGGCCUAACAAGGAGGAGAGAGUUGGCUGAAAAAGUUGCUGCCAAGGUGGGCGACCCACCUUUCAAUGUGAUUAUGAAUGAGGGAAGGAUAAACCCAGCUUCUACCCUUCGAGUUAGGGUUUAUGUGGAUGUUAACAUCCCUCUGGUUCAUUUUGUGCCAAUCACUUUAAAAGAGUACAAGAGAUAUAGUGUCUACUAUGAGAAGCUCCCAGACUUUUGUUUUGCAUGUGGAAGAAUGGGCCACCUAGCUGACGAAUGUGGUGACGGGGUGCAUGAUCCAAGAUCCUUCGAAUGGGGGGACUAG